rnacentral:misc_RNA from 1 species
GGUUGGAUCAUUAACAAAUUAUUUAGGCCCCUGGCUGCCUCAAAAGGGCGAAGGGGGGAAACCUAAACAUUUGUGUGCACCAUAUCUGUCUUUGGCAGUUCGAGUGUCUUGGGUGCGUAACUGCCUCAAGUACCUACCGAGGCUUGCCUUUCGGGGCUUGCCAGAGUUGGGCUGCCGCUUUUUUGAACAAACCUUUUGUUGUUUUUGUUUUGACUGAAUUUGUUUGAUCUUUAAGAUUGAAUUUAAAUACAACUUUUGACAACGGAUCUCUUGGCUCUCGCAACGAUGAAGAACGCAGCGAAAUGCGAUAAGUAAUGUGAAUUGCAGAAUUCAGUGAAUCAUCGAAUCUUUGAACGCACAUUGCGCUCCCUGGUAUUCCGGAGAGCAUGCCUGUUUGAGAAUCAGUAAAUUCAUCAUCUCUAGGUUCUGGGAAGUCUUUCCCGGACCCUGGAGUUUGGAUUUGGGCUUUUUGCAACCUAGGUUGCAAUAGCCUGGAAUUGAAUGUUACGCUCGGUCGGACUGGAAGGUCUUGGGCAAACGCAUGAAUGAGGCAACUCAGCAGUACGUGAGCCUUUGAGAACUUCUCAAUUCAAUCGUCGGGUAACUCCCUUGAUGAACCAGAGUUUGCUUGCAUUAGCUGGCUUAUUCUGAACACUUGGUCUCAAAUCAGGUAGGAAAACCCGCUGAACUUAAGCAUAUCAAUAAGCGGAGGAAAAGAAACUAACAAGGAUUCCCCUAGUAACGGCGAGUGAAGCGGGAACAGCUCAAAUUUGAAAUCUCACAGGGUUACCUGUGCGAAUUGUAGUUUAUAGAAACGUUUUCGGGGGUGGCCCUGGCAUAAGUCCUUUGGAAUGAGGCAUCAUAGAGGGUGAGAAUCCCGUUUAUGGUCAGGUGUCCGCUCCUAUGUGAUACGUUUUCUAAGAGUCGGUUUGUUUGGGAAUGCAGACCAAAAUGGGUGGUAAAUACCAUCUAAAGCUAAAUAUUGGCGAGAGACCGAUAGCGAACAAGUACCGUGAGGGAAAGAUGAAAAGAACUUUGAAAAGAGAGUUAAAAGUACGUGAAAUUGUCAAAAGGGAAACGCUUGAAACCAGUAUUGCGUUCAGGUAAUCAGCCAUUCCUUUUGGGGUGGUGCACUUGCCUGUUUGCGGGUCAACAUCAGUUUGACUCGGGAUAAAAAGCCUUGAGAAGGUAGCCCCUCGGGGUGUUACAGCUCAAGGUCAUGUCUCGGGUUGGACUGAGGUCUGCAGUGUUAUUUGGGUAGCCAGUCGCCUCUCGAAACCCUGUUGUAGACAGCAUGCUGACUAUGGCUUGGUCUAGGGAGCACGGUUGGGAUUCCACACCAACACUUAGGAUGUUGACGAAAUGGUUUCAAACGACCCGUCUUGAAACACGGACCAAGGAGUCUAACAUAUAUGCGAGUGUUUGGGUGGCAAACCCUUACGCGAAAUGAAAGUGAACUUAGGUGGGAUCUUCGGUGCACCAUCGACCGGUCUGGAUUUUUUUGAUAGAUCUGAGUAAGAGCAUAUCUGUUGGGACCCGAAAGAUGGUGAACUAUGCCUGAAUAGGGUGAAGCCAGAGGAAACUCUGGUGGAGGCUCGUAGCGAUUCUGACGUGCAAAUCGAUCGUCAAAUUUGGGUAUAGGGGCGAAAGACUAAUCGAACCAUCUAGUAGCUGGUUCCCUC